UUCCGGUUGAUCCUGCCGGACCUGACUGCUAUCGGAUUGAUACUAAGCCAUGCGAGUCUUUGCAGUAAUGCAAGGCAUACGGCUCAGUAACACGUAGUCAACUUACCCUAUGGACGAGGAUAAUCUCGGGAAACUGAGCAUAAUACUCGAUAGAUCAUAAUGCCUGGAAUGGUUUAUGGUUAAAAUGAUUCGUCGCCAUAGGAUGGGACUGCGGCCUAUCAGCUUGUUGGUGAGGUAAUGGCCCACCAAGGCGAUUACAGGUACGGGCUCUGAGAGGAGAAGCCCGGAGAUGGGUACUGAGACAAGGACCCAGGCCCUAUGGGGCGCAGCAGGCGAGAAAACUUUGCAAUGUGCGAAAGCACGACAAGGUUAAUCCGAGUGAUUUCUGCUAAAGAAAUCUUUUGCAAGUCAUAACACCACUAGUGAAUAAGGGGUGGGCAAGUUCUGGUGUCAGCCGCCGCGGUAAAACCAGCACCUCAAGUGGUCAGGAGGAUUAUUGGGCCUAAAGCAUCCGUAGCCGGCUCUGUAAGUUUUCGGUUAAAUCUAUGUGCUCAACGCAUAGGCUGCCGAAAAUACUGCAUAGCUAGGGAGUGGGAGAGGUAGACGGUACUCGGUAGGAAGGGGUAAAAUCCUUUGAUCUAUCGAUGACCACCUGUGGCGAAGGCGGUCUACCAGAACACGUUCGACGGUGAGGGAUGAAAGCUGGGGGAGCAAACCGGAUUAGAUACCCGGGUAGUCCCAGCUGUAAACGAUGCAGACUCGAUGAUGCAUUGGCAUAUAGCCAGUGCAGUGUCGCAGGGAAGCCGUUAAGUCUGCCGCCUGGGAAGUACGUACGCAAGUAUGAAACUUAAAGGAAUUGGCGGGGGAGCACCACAAGGGGUGAAGCCUGCGGUUCAAUUGGAGUCAACGCCGGG
rnacentral:rRNA from 1 species